AAAUAGAAUUUGGUUAUUACUACAAUUCUUCGUGUCACUGUAAUUUAACAAUAACUAGUAUGCACGGGUUCCAAAUAUUUACAAUAUGAUUUUUUUUAAUUUGGAUAUUAUCAUUUUUUAAACUUUUUAUAAAACUUUCAAUGUCAAAUUUUAUCAACUAAAUUAAACACAUAUUGAAUUGAAUAAGUUAUAGAGAUAGCUAUUUUCCUUAUGUUACAUCACCUAUUUGGUAAGCACCUCUAUAAACACAAUAUUCUUUGUGUAUGUCUGGCUUGUGCUUUUAUUUUCUUGCUUCUUUUUAUUCUUGGUUUUCUCUCCUUUUCCUUUCUUUUUCUUCUUCUUUUCCUCGUCUUCU
rnacentral:lncRNA from 1 species